GCCUUUUUAGUUCAGUCGGUAGAACAACGGACUGUUAAUCCGUGUGUCGUUGGUUCGAGUCCAGCAGGAGGCG
rnacentral:tRNA from 1 species